rnacentral:tRNA from 1 species
GGAUAUGUAGCUCAGUGGUAGAGCUUAUGUAGCACACACAAGGCCCUGGGUUCAAUUCCCAGCACCUCUA